rnacentral:lncRNA from 1 species
AUAAAAUAAAAUAUAAAGUCACAUUUUAAAAGCUUAAUUAUCCAAUGCAUACUAAGAAAUACAGUCACAAUAGUCUGACGAAGAAACAUCUUAAGAAGAAAGAGGCCUAAUUACAUGCACCACCAAAUCUAGACCAAGUAACAAAAAUGUUAGACCUGUUGCUUAUGCAUGCCUCGGUCUUCACUUUUCUUCUUCUUUUUAUCUUUCUUCUUAGCAGAAGUAAUAAUUGGUUCAAUUCAUCGCCGAUGCUUCACUCUGCUUCAUCUUCUUCCGCUUCCUUCUUCUUCUUCACUCUGCUUCGUGUUUUUGCGUCUCGGUUGGAUAGUUUGUGCAAUCGUAGACAUUGAUAGUUUUUGAAAUCACUUGACCAGCAGAAAGAAUGACCGAGGCACUUUGUUUAUGCAAUAAAAAUUAAACAACAUAUACAAUCAACCAAUUAGAAUUUAUUUCUAAAAUGUGUGUGCAUAAAUUAUUGCUUCAUUUAUGCUAAAUUAGAUUCACGAUUCACAUUCACGUUUGAACAAAGACAGUUUUCUCUUAUUAUUUCGUAUGCCAUGAAAAUGAACAUGAGCCAAUGACAAUCCAUGUCAAGGACAUUCCAAUUUCAUUUCAUGGUCAACUUUACAUUUAAUGUGAAUGAUAUUAUGCUCCUCUUUUUGGGUCAAGCCUAAUGGAUAAAAAUUACGGAUUAAGGCGAAGGAUUAAACUUGGACGGAAGAAUCAAAGAAGAAAGUCAAGGCUUAUGGAAUUCAAUCAAGGAUGAAAGAGUAAGACAAAAAAGAGUUUAAGUAGCGCAUCAACUUUAGCAUUUUAGCUCUGGCAAACAUCAACCUUGGCGGUCAGCUCCGCCAACUUUAGAGCUUAGCUUCGUACAAGCUUGGCGGUUAGCCUUAUCACAAUCUUAGCGGUCAACUCUGCACUAACCUUGGGACUCAGCUCUCUGCCAACCUUGAUGGUCCACUCCAACAUAGAAAAUGUUGUAAUGAAACAUGGGCUCAAUUGCCUCGAUUAAUAGACCUUAGUGCUCUUUGUAAUCUAUUAAUAUGAUUCUUAUGUAUAAAAUUAUUAAGUCAUUUUUUACACAUUCAACACAUUAUUUAGAUUUUUCAAUGUUAUUAUUUUUCCUAAAUUUGCUAUUGAGAUUCAAAUCAAACCCGACUACGUUGUUGUUUCAAGAGUAAAAAGUCGAAGUUGGUUGAAAAUUUUAGCAUGUGACAGAAAUGAUAACAACAUAUCAAGUAUAAUGCAUGUUCUUUUAAAAAAAGUAUAAUGAAUGUUGUUUGUAAAGAAAUUCUUAAAAAUAUAAAUCUACUAAUAUGUAUUACCAUGCUUUAGUCAAUUUUACAAUUGUUAGUUUUUUAUUUUUUAUUAUUGUUUCAUCAUAGCCCCUAUUUAUGUACACAAUAUUUUAUUAGGACCAAUUUUUUUAUUCAUUAAAGAUUAUGUAUUUUUAUACAAUAUAACACAAUAUCUUUUUUUAUUUUAACACUGUACUUGAUUAAUUAAUAUAUAAUUAAUUUUUUAUAAAAAAAAUUAUAUCAAUUUACCGCGUGCAUAUGCACGGCUGGAACACUAGUCUUAAGAAGAAAGAGGCCUAAUUACAUGCACAACACCAAAUCUAGACCAAGUAACAAAAAUGUUAGACCUGUUGCUUAUGCAUGCCUCAGUCUUCACUUUUCUUCUUCUUUUUAU